rnacentral:lncRNA from 1 species
CCUUUUGUUCCAUGAACUGCCUACCUCCUCUCUUCUCCUCCUGGCUGCAAAUAACAUUGAAAUCCCCCCCACAAUUGCGAUAUGUAAGCAUAAUUUCUUCACGCUGCUUACUUCCUGCCAUAAUUCUCAGUUACUGUCAGUUAUUUUCAAAGUUCAGAGUUCAACAUGCAUGAUAAACUGGCUCACAACGUGAACAACAAGUGCAAUAUCUGGUCGACAAUAGUCAAAUAAAUCGGGGCAUC